AUUUGGUGUUGAGGGUAUUUGAUGCACAACUUCUUGAAUCGCUCCCAGUAAUCAUAGAGCGACUCUCUUAGGUGUUGCUGGAUACCGCAUAUCUCCUUCCUUAAACU